rnacentral:rRNA from 1 species
UUAAGCGACUAAGCGUACACGGUGGAUGCCCUGGCAGUCAGAGGCGAUGAAGGACGUGCUAAUCUGCGAAAAGCGUCGGUAAGGUGAUAUGAACCGUUAUAACCGGCGAUGUCCGAAUGGGGAAACCCAGUGCAAUUCGUUGCACUAUCGUUAACUGAAUACAUAGGUUAACGAGGCGAACCGGGGGAACUGAAACAUCUAAGUACCCCGAGGAAAAGAAAUCAACCGAGAUUCCCCCAGUAGCGGCGAGCGAACGGGGAGCAGCCCAGAGUCUGAAUCAGCUUGUGUGUUAGUGGAACGGUCUGGAAAGUCCGACGGUACAGGGUGAUAGUCCCGUACACCAAAAUGCACAGGUUGUGAACUCGAAGAGUAGGGCGGGACACGUGGUAUCCUGUCUGAAUAUGGGGGGACCAUCCUCCAAGGCUAAAUACUCCUGACUGACCGAUAGUGAACCAGUACCGUGAGGGAAAGGCGAAAAGAACCCCGGCGAGGGGAGUGAAAAAGAACCUGAAACCGUGUACGUACAAGCAGUGGGAGCACCUUCGGGUGUGACUGCGUACCUUUUGUAUAAUGGGUCAGCGACUUAUAUUCUGUAGCAAGGUUAACCGUAUAGGGGAGCCGCAGGGAAACCGAGUCUUAACUGGGCGUUAAGUUGCAGGGUAUAGACCCGAAACCCGGUGAUCUAGCCAUGGGCAGGUUGAAGGUUGGGUAACACUAACUGGAGGACCGAACCGACUAAUGUUGAAAAAUUAGCGGAUGACUUGUGGCUGGGGGUGAAAGGCCAAUCAAACCGGGAGAUAGCUGGUUCUCCCCGAAAGCUAUUUAGGUAGCGCCUCGUGAACUCAUCUUCGGGGGUAGAGCACUGUUUCGGCUAGGGGGUCAUCCCGACUUACCAACCCGAUGCAAACUACGAAUACCGAAGAAUGUUAUCACGGGAGACACACGGCGGGUGCUAACGUCCGUCGUGAAGAGGGAAACAACCCAGACCGCCAGCUAAGGUCCCAAAGUCAUGGUUAAGUGGGAAACGAUGUGGGAAGGCACAGACAGCCAGGAUGUUGGCUUAGAAGCAGCCAUCAUUUAAAGAAAGCGUAAUAGCUCACUGGUCGAGUCGGCCUGCGCGGAAGAUGUAACGGGGCUAAACCAUGCACCGAAGCUGCGGCAGCGACACUAUGUGUUGUUGGGUAGGGGAGCGUUCUGUAAGCCUGCGAAGGUGUGCUGUGAGGCAUGCUGGAGGUAUCAGAAGUGCGAAUGCUGACAUAAGUAACGAUAAAGCGGGUGAAAAGCCCGCUCGCCGGAAGACCAAGGGUUCCUGUCCAACGUUAAUCGGGGCAGGGUGAGUCGACCCCUAAGGCGAGGCCGAAAGGCGUAGUCGAUGGGAAACAGGUUAAUAUUCCUGUACUUGGUGUUACUGCGAAGGGGGGACGGAGAAGGCUAUGUUAGCCGGGCGACGGUUGUCCCGGUUUAAGCAUGUAGGCUGAUUGUCCAGGCAAAUCCGGAUAAUCAAGGCUGAGGUGUGAUGACGAGGCACUACGGUGCUGAAGUAACAAAUGCCCUGCUUCCAGGAAAAGCCUCUAAGCAUCAGGUAACAUUAAAUCGUACCCCAAACCGACACAGGUGGUCAGGUAGAGAAUACCAAGGCGCUUGAGAGAACUCGGGUGAAGGAACUAGGCAAAAUGGUGCCGUAACUUCGGGAGAAGGCACGCUGGUGUGUAGGUGAAGUCCCUGCGGAUGGAGCUGAGACCAGUCGAAGAUACCAGCUGGCUGCAACUGUUUAUUAAAAACACAGCACUGUGCAAACACGAAAGUGGACGUAUACGGUGUGACGCCUGCCCGGUGCCGGAAGGUUAAUUGAUGGGGUUAUCCGUAAGGAGAAGCUCUUGAUCGAAGCCCCGGUAAACGGCGGCCGUAACUAUAACGGUCCUAAGGUAGCGAAAUUCCUUGUCGGGUAAGUUCCGACCUGCACGAAUGGCGUAAUGAUGGCCAGGCUGUCUCCACCCGAGACUCAGUGAAAUUGAACUCGCUGUGAAGAUGCAGUGUACCCGCGGCAAGACGGAAAGACCCCGUGAACCUUUACUAUAGCUUGACACUGAACAUUGAGCCUUGAUGUGUAGGAUAGGUGGGAGGCUUUGAAGCGUGGACGCCAGUCUGCGUGGAGCCAACCUUGAAAUACCACCCUUUAAUGUUUGAUGUUCUAACGUUGGCCCCUGACCGGGGUUGCGGACAGUGUCUGGUGGGUAGUUUGACUGGGGCGGUCUCCUCCCAAAGCGUAACGGAGGAGCACGAAGGUUAGCUAAUCCUGGUCGGACAUCAGGAGGUUAGUGCAAUGGCAUAAGCUAGCUUGACUGCGAGCGUGACGGCGCGAGCAGGUGCGAAAGCAGGUCAUAGUGAUCCGGUGGUUCUGAAUGGAAGGGCCAUCGCUCAACGGAUAAAAGGUACUCCGGGGAUAACAGGCUGAUACCGCCCAAGAGUUCAUAUCGACGGCGGUGUUUGGCACCUCGAUGUCGGCUCAUCACAUCCUGGGGCUGAAGUAGGUCCCAAGGGUAUGGCUGUUCGCCAUUUAAAGUGGUACGCGAGCUGGGUUUAGAACGUCGUGAGACAGUUCGGUCCCUAUCUGCCGUGGGCGCUGGAGAAUUGAGGGGGGCUGCUCCUAGUACGAGAGGACCGGAGUGGACGCAUCACUGGUGUUCGGGUUGUCAUGCCAAUGGCACUGCCCGGUAGCUAAAUGCGGAAGAGAUAAGUGCUGAAAGCAUCUAAGCACGAAACUUGCCCCGAGAUGAGUUCUCCCUGAGACUUUAAGUCUCCUGAAGGAACGUUGAAGACGACGACGUUGAUAGGCCGGGUGUGUAAGCGCAGCGAUGCGUUGAGCUAACCGGUACUAAUGAACCGUGAGGCUUAACCU